rnacentral:rRNA from 1 species
GAUGAGCGCUGGCGGCGUGCCUAAUACAUGCAAGUCGAGCGAAUGGAUUAAGAGCUUGCUCUUAUGAAGUUAGCGGCGGACGGGUGAGUAACACGUGGGUAACCUGCCCAUAAGACUGGGAUAACUCCGGGAAACCGGGGCUAAUACCGGAUAACAUUUUGAACCGCAUGGUUCGAAAUUGAAAGGCGGCUUCGGCUGUCACUUAUGGAUGGACCCGCGUCGCAUUAGCUAGUUGGUGAGGUAACGGCUCACCAAGGCAACGAUGCGUAGCCGACCGGAGAGGGUGAUCGGCCACACUGGGACUGAGACACGGCCCAGACUCCUACGGGAGGCAGCAGUAGGGAAUCUUCCGCAAUGGACGAAAGUCUGACGGAGCAACGCCGCGUGAGUGAUGAAGGCUUUCGGGUCGUAAAACUCUGUUGUUAGGGGAGAACAAGUGCUAGUUGAAUAAGCUGGCACCUUGACGGUACCUAACCAGAAAGCCACGGCUAACUACGUGCCAGCCGCCGCUGUAA